CGGAUCCUCUCCAUUUCCCUUUGAAAUGGAGAGGCUCCAGUACACGGACAGGAUCAUCUUUGCAUUAUAUCAAGGGCCAAAAAUGUGCCACGUCAUAACUUAACCCACUUAACCCAAACCACACUUAACUACACUUAAACUAGAGGCUGUUUAACUCAAUCGGACAAACCACUGUUUCUCUCUCACCAAACCCAUCUGAACAUUUCAAAUUCAAACUCUCUUUCUCACUCUCUUCUCCAAGGUUCUCUCUCGCCCCGCCAUCAUGGUGCCCCAACUUUUUAACUCAGCUCCUCGCUCAGUUCCUCGCUCACCACACAGAUUGAAAUCCCUAACCCACGAACUCAGCUCCUUGCUCUCAUGGAUUCAAGCUCGAUCCCUCACCCACAAACUCAGCUCCUUGCUCACCUCACACUGCGAGUUUCCUCUAUCUCUCACACGGCCUCUCACAUUCACACACACAACCCCGCUAGCGUCGACGAGCAGAGCCGAGCCCAGUGCCGACGUGCCUAGUCGAGCCUAGCCCAGCCCAGCGACGAUGCCAAUGAGGCUGAGCCCAGCCAUCGACUCCUCUCCUCCCAUACCCAUCGGCUCUCUCUACCGUCGACCCAUACCCAUCGGCUCUCUCUCCCUCACCACAAGAUCCUUUCUCCCUCUCUCCCCUUGCCACCCCCAUACCCAUACCCAUACCCAUUCUGAUUUUGCUUGAGUGAUUCAGAAAUUGUUGAUGCUAAGCCUCUUGUGCUUUCAAGAGGAACAUUGCAGACUGCUGAUUCAAAGGAACCAUUUGCAAGGUUACAUCUCUUGCAAUUUUGUCAUCUAUAACACGUAGAUACUUCUGGUGAUGACAUGUACUUUAAGUAGUUUUCAUUCUUAACUUAUGUGAUCUAGAUUUCAUAUAGUAGUUAAUCCAUUCAGAAACUUAUUAUGUUGCUAUAAUUUUGAAGAAUCUAUUAAAUUCUAGUAUUACUUUUCUUUUAAGAAA